rnacentral:rRNA from 1 species
GACGAACGCUGGCGGCGUGCCUAACACAUGCAAGUCGAGCGGGGACUUAAUCAUGAAGUUUUCGGAUGGAUUGGUUAAGUUCUAGCGGCGGACGGGUGAGUAACGCGUGAGUAACCUGCCUAUCACUGGGGAAUAACGCAGCGAAAGUUGUGCUAAUACCGCAUGAGACCACAGAGGGACAUCCCUUAGGGGUCAAAGGAGCAAUCCGGUUUGAGAUGGGCUCGCGUCCGAUUAGCUAGUUGGUGAGAUAACAGCCCACCAAGGCGACGAUCGGUAGCCGACCUGAGAGGGUGAUCGGCCACAUUGGAACUGAGAAACGGUCCAGACUCCUACGGGAGGCAGCAGUGGGGAAUAUUGGGCAAUGGGCGAAAGCCUGACCCAGCAACGCCNCGUGAGGAAGAAGGGUUUACGCGUCGUAAACCUCUGUCCUAUAGGACGAA